rnacentral:rRNA from 1 species
GGUUGAUCCUGCCAGUAGUCAUAUGCUUGUCUCAAAGAUUAAGCCAUGCAUGUCUAAGUAUAAACAUCUUUAUACAGUGAAACUGCGUACAGCUCAUUAAAUCAGUUAUUAUUUAUUUGAUGGUACCUUACUACAUGGAUACCCGUAGUAAUUCUAGAGCUAAUACAUGCACAAAGUCCCGACUCUCGCGGGGAGGGAUGUAUUUAUUAGAUAAAAAACCAAUGCCUCUCGGGGCUUCUUUGGUGACUCAUAGUAACUUUUCGAAUCGCAUGGCCUUGUGCUGGCGAUAGUU